rnacentral:rRNA from 1 species
AGAGUUUGAUCCUGGCUCAGGAUGAACGCUAGCUACAGGCUUAACACAUGCAAGUCGAGGGGCAGCAUGGGAGUAGCUUGCUACUCCUGAUGGCGACCGGCGCACGGGUGCGUAACACGUAUCGAACCUGCCCGUCACUCAGGGAUAGCCCAGCGAAAGUUGGAUUAAUACCUGAUGCACUCAUAUGAUCACAUGUUUGUAUGAGUAAAGAUUCAUCGGUGACGGAUGGCGAUGCGGCCGAUUAGCUUGUUGGCGGGGUAACGGCCCACCAAGGCUACGAUAGGUAGGGGUUCUGAGAGGAAGGUCCCCCACAUUGGAACUGAGACACGGUCCAAACUCCUACGGGAGGCAGCAGUGAGGAAUAUUGGUCAAUGGGCGGAAGUCUGAACCAGCCAUGCCGCGUGAAGGAUGAAUGCCCUAUGGGUUGUAAACUCCUGUCAUAAGGGAAAAGGCGAACCGACCCAACACGUCGGCGAGUUGAUUGUACUUUAAGAGGAAUUGGCGGCUAACUCUGUGCCAGCAGCCGCGGUAAUACAGAGGCCAAGAGCGUUGUUCGGAUUUACUGGGCGUAAAGGGCGCGUAGGUGGCGAAGUGUGUCGAAUGUGAAAUCUCCCGGCUCAACCCGGAAAGUGCGCCCGAAACUGCUUUGCUCAAGUACGGGAGAGGGGAAUCGAAUAUAGGGUGGUGCCGUGAAAUGCGUUGAUAUCCUAUAGAACACCGGAGGCGAAGGCGGAUCCCUGGAACGUCACUGACACUGAGGCGCGAAAGUCGGGGGAGCAAACAGGAUUAGAUACCCUGGUAGUCCACACUGUAAACGAUGAUUGCUAGGUGUGGGGGGACUGACCCCUUCCGUGCCGGAGUUAACGCAAUAAGCAAUCCACCUGGGGAGUACGACCGCAAGGCUAAAACUCAAAGAAAUUGACGGGGGCCCGCACAAGCAGAGGAGCAUGUGGCUUAAUUCGAUGCAACGCGAAGAACCUUACCUGGAUUUGACAUCGUGGGCAAAGGCCUAUGAAAGUAGGCUGGAGGUUAUCCCAUAGACAGGUGCUGCAUGGCUGUCGUCAGUUCGUGCCGUGAGGUGUUUGGUUAAGUCCACCAACGAACGCAACCCCUUUGGUAUGUUGCCAUCAGGUAAAGCUGGGAACUCGUACCAUACUGCCUGUUUACGCAGGAGGAAGGUGGGGAUGACGUCAAGUCAGUAUGGCCCUUACAUCCAGGGCUGCACACGUGCUACAAUGGCCGGUACAGAGGGACGCGAGACCGCAAGGUGGAGCCAAUCCCAGAGAGCCGGCCUCAGUUCAGAUCGGGGUCUGCAACCCGACCCCGUGAAGUCGGAUUUGCUAGUAACGGCGUAUCAGCUACGACGCCGUGAAUGCGUUCCCGGGCCUUGUACACACCGCCCGUCAAG